GAUGUCACUACUACAAGCUAGAGUCAAAAUGGCAGAAUGGUGAGAUGUGAGUUCCCCAUCAAAGAAAAAGUUGAAGACACAGCCCUCAGCAGGUGCACUGAUGUGCACUGUCUUUUGGGAUAGGAAAGGGGGGACCCUUUGGGAUUCCCUGGAGCCCAGAUAAACCAUCAGCUCUGACCACUACAUCAUGACAGGGCCUAAGCUGAAGGCCCAAACUUCCAGAGUCAGGCCAGAGAAGACAACCUUUCUCUUGCAACACAACACCAGGCCCCAUGCCAGUUUGAAGACCGUGAAGCACAAUGCCAAUCUCAGCUGGACCGUCCUAUCACAUCCACCAUAUAGUCCAGAUUUGGCACCUUCUGAUGGAUUAACUCUGUGCAGUAAGUUUGGCCUCGGGUCCUUCACAUCUGCCAAGGAAUUUGGAGUUUAUCCUAUCCACAGCCUUAGUAAUAAAGUCCACUGUGUUUAGUGUGCUUUCUUUGAAAAUUAUAACUGUGUAAGAGAAGCAGCCUUGAGAAAUGUGUUUUCCCUUUGCCAGAACACUUGAUUUCUUCCUUGAAAAGGAGGAUGGAAUUCAUACAGCUAAAGCUUAAACACUGGAAGAUUUGCUCUACAUCAACACCUGCUGUUCUGCCCUUGCUGCAAGAAGGAAGCUGGAGCAAAUACACUUUUCAGCUGUGACAUAUAAUCCAUGUGUGGAUUAAACUGUGCAUGCAACUACAGCUGAGAAUUCCAGAGAAUCCUCCUUCCUCCACUCUGACAGUGCAAAGGAUGACUCUUCAACAUUUCCCUUCUUGUUCUAAGAAAAUUGGACUGAUUGUCAAAAGUGAUUUUGGACAUCCUUCCAAUGUAUGUCUGGGCUCAUCUUUAAACUCUUCACCCCAACAUGACUUAAGCUGCCUGUACAGAGAAGAAAAGUAACCUUGAUCAGGCCCUUGCUGUGUUAUUUUUCACUCUGUAAGAUAGUGCAUGUAGAACUUCUUUGCUCCAUUCUACCUCACUGGAUUUUUCCUAAUUCUUGUAGCACGUGGUGCUUCCAUGUAAUACGAAAAAAUUCUGGAAGGAUUACAUAAAGUCUUUUGUUAAAGUCUGCCCUAUGAUCUACUCUGAUCUUUCUUUCCAUUGGACAUUUCUCUGAGACUCCAUUAUUUGUUUUCCUAGGUUCCCCACUGGGAAGCAGAGAUGAGUUACACAUGGAAAGGAGUUCCACGCAGUACUGUGAAUUCAUCUGCUUAUCAUCUUCAGCAUUCCCAUCAAACUUUAUCACCGUUCUCUAGCCAGGAUGGAUCUAUAUGAAGCCAACAAUUAUGUGUUUGGAUUGUCCUGUUGGAUUGCUACGGUGAAAUCCAGAGAGGAGGACUUGAAGAGCUGCAGUCCCUUACAUCAACAUCAAAAUGGAACCCAAGGACAACCACGCUGAACAUUCAGGUUCCUUAUAUCCUCUAUAUCCUGUAGUAGAGAAUGAAAAUGUUGUCCAGU
ensembl:lncRNA